AGAAGAUUUAAAGUUGGAACCGGAAUUGAUGGAAUCAAUAACAGAUACUGCGGCAAUUGAUUAAUUAGAUAGGUCAGAGGGAUCGUAAUUUUUGUAGAGAUUUAUUAAAUAGUUUUUAGAUAGGUAUCAAAUGAGUGUUUGCGAGGACGCUGCACAGAUAGGAGUGGGGCUAUGUAGAAUAGAUAUUAAUUCAUUUUUGAAAGAUAUUGGUAAAAUAUAUUAAUAGUCCAUACAAUAAGAAAUUCAAGAGGACGAAUGAAUGAUUUAAUU
rnacentral:lncRNA from 1 species